rnacentral:rRNA from 1 species
AAAUUGAAGAGUUUGAUCAUGGCUCAGAUUGAACGCUGGCGGCAGGCCUAACACAUGCAAGUCGAGCGGUAGCACAGAGAGCUUGCUCUCGGGUGACGAGCGGCGGACGGGUGAGUAAUGUCUGGGAAACUGCCUGAUGGAGGGGGAUAACUACUGGAAACGGUAGCUAAUACCGCAUAACGUCGCAAGACCAAAGUGGGGGACCUUCGGGCCUCAUGCCAUCAGAUGUGCCCAGAUGGGAUUAGCUAGUAGGUGGGGUAACGGCUCACCUAGGCGACGAUCCCUAGCUGGUCUGAGAGGAUGACCAGCCACACUGGAACUGAGACACGGUCCAGACUCCUACGGGAGGCAGCAGUGGGGAAUAUUGCACAAUGGGCGCAAGCCUGAUGCAGCCAUGCCGCGUGUGUGAAGAAGGCCUUCGGGUUGUAAAGCACUUUCAGCGGGGAGGAAGGCGGUGAGGUUAAUAACCUCAUCGAUUGACGUUACCCGCAGAAGAAGCACCGGCUAACUCCGUGCCAGCAGCCGCGGUAAUACGGAGGGUGCAAGCGUUAAUCGGAAUUACUGGGCGUAAAGCGCACGCAGGCGGUCUGUCAAGUCGGAUGUGAAAUCCCCGGGCUCAACCCGGGAACUGCAUUCGAAACUGGCAGGCUAGAGUCUUGUAGAGGGGGGUAGAAUUCCAGGUGUAGCGGUGAAAUGCGUAGAGAUCUGGAGGAAUACCGGUGGCGAAGGCGGCCCCCUGGACAAAGACUGACGCUCAGGUGCGAAAGCGUGGGGAGCAAACAGGAUUAGAUACCCUGGUAGUCCACGCCGUAAACGAUGUCGAUUUGGAGGUUGUGCCCUUGAGGCGUGGCUUCCGGAGCUAACGCGUUAAAUCGACCGCCUGGGGAGUACGGCCGCAAGGUUAAAACUCAAAUGAAUUGACGGGGGCCCGCACAAGCGGUGGAGCAUGUGGUUUAAUUCGAUGCAACGCGAAGAACCUUACCUGGUCUUGACAUCCACAGAACUUUCCAGAGAUGGAUUGGUGCCUUCGGGAACUGUGAGACAGGUGCUGCAUGGCUGUCGUCAGCUCGUGUUGUGAAAUGUUGGGUUAAGUCCCGCAACGAGCGCAACCCUUAUCCUUUGUUGCCAGCGGUCCGGCCGGGAACUCAAAGGAGACUGCCAGUGAUAAACUGGAGGAAGGUGGGGAUGACGUCAAGUCAUCAUGGCCCUUACGACCAGGGCUACACACGUGCUACAAUGGCAUAUACAAAGAGAAGCGACCUCGCGAGAGCAAGCGGACCUCAUAAAGUAUGUCGUAGUCCGGAUUGGAGUCUGCAACUCGACUCCAUGAAGUCGGAAUCGCUAGUAAUCGUAGAUCAGAAUGCUACGGUGAAUACGUUCCCGGGCCUUGUACACACCGCCCGUCACACCAUGGGAGUGGGUUGCAAAAGAAGUAGGUAGCUUAACCUUCGGGAGGGCGCUUACCACUUUGUGAUUCAUGACUGGGGUGAAGUCGUAACAAGGUAACCGUAGGGGAACCUGCGGUUGGAUCACCUCCUUA